GAUUUAAAAAUUUAAAUUAAAUAUAAUUAAUUGAAAUUUUUUUUUGAAUUUUAAUUUAAUUUAUUGAUA
rnacentral:tRNA from 1 species